rnacentral:rRNA from 1 species
UACGGGGGGGGCAAGCGUUGUUCGGAAUUACUGGGCGUAAAGGGCUCGUAGGUGGCCAACUAAGUCAGACGUGAAAUCCCUCGGCUUAACCGGGGAACUGCGUCUGAUACUGGAUGGCUUGAGUUUGGGAGAGGGAUGCGGAAUUCCAGGUGUAGCGGUGAAAUGCGUAGAUAUCUGGAGGAACACCGGUGGCGAAGGCGGCACCCUGGACCAACACUGACGCUGAUGAGCGAAAGCCAGGGGAGCAAACGGG